UGAGGAGGUUCACUUCGUGCCUAGGGUCACUCAGGGAUGAGCUGAGCUGAGCUAUGGAUCCAGACUUAGUCCGAGGCCACAUGCCUUGAACCCUGGCUUCCAGGAGACUUGCAGGGAAUGGGAAUCUAUUCUUUGCUGUACCUUUUUCUCAUGUUUCUCCCUCACAGCAUACACAGUGGGAAGAUGACAGAAUUUCAGAUCCAAAAAGCCAUCACAGUCAUCAUUCUCUCAGCUUCAUGGGGCUUCAAUCCCCCUAGCUCUCCCUGCUGGGUGGCACCCCUUCAGCGCCUUGCAGCCAGAUUAAUCUUCCAUUUCAGCAGAGUUCAGGGAGCUACAGAGCCCAGUGGUGUUUAACUUGGCUCGCACUCAACCCCAUGAAUUUAAA
rnacentral:lncRNA from 1 species